AUUGAACGCUGGCGGCAUGCCUUACACAUGCAAGUCGAACGGCAGCAUGAUCUAGCUUGCUAGAUUGAUGGCGAGUGGCGCACGGGUGAGUAAUACAUCGGAACGUGCCCUGUAGUGGGGGAUAACUAGUCGAAAGAUUAGCUAAUACCGCAUACGACCUGAGGGUGAAAGUGGGGGACCGCAUGGCCUCAUGCUAUAGGAGCGGCCGAUGUCUGAUUAGCUAGUUGGUGAGGUAAAGGCUCACCAAGGCGACGAUCAGUAGCUGGUCUGAGAGGACGAUCAGCCACACUGGAACUGAGACACGGCCCAGACUCCUACGGGAGGCAGCAGUGGGGAAUUUUGGACAAUGGGCGAAAGCCUGAUCCAGCAAUGCCGCGUGUGUGAAGAAGGCCUUCGGGUUGUAAAGCACUUUUGUCCGGAAAGAAAUGGCUCUGGUUAAUACCUGGGGUCGAUGACGGUACCGGAAGAAUAAGGACCGGCUAACUACGUG
rnacentral:rRNA from 1 species